rnacentral:lncRNA from 1 species
AAAAAGAAGUCAGAAAAAGCAAACAUAGCCAGAAGAGAUUUUGAUGAUGAACCUAUGAUAUUGACGGCUUCUGAUUCUGAUAGUGCGUAUUUGGAAUGAUGGUGGUACAUGGGCACUGGUUGUUCAAAUCACCUUAUUGGAAAUAAGAACUGGAUGGUUGAGUUUGACUUUGGUAAGAUGACCAAGACCAUAUAUGUUGAUUAUAAGUAUCUGAAUGUUGAAGGAAUGAGAAAUGUCAGAGUAGUUC